AAAGUUUACUGUAUCGAAUGUGAUUUAAUUAGGAAUUGAAUGUUUCUUUUUGUAAUUCAUUGGGUGUAAAAGAGUUGACCGAAGUACAUUUUGUAUGAAGCGCAAAAGCGCUUCAUUCUAAAAAUGUGCGCACGGUCAACGCUUUUACAACCCUCUGAAGUUACAAAAAGAAGCAUUCAAUACUUAUAAGUAUAUUUUUUAGCUAGGACCAUG
rnacentral:lncRNA from 1 species